rnacentral:rRNA from 1 species
UACGGGGGGAGCAAGCGUUGUUCGGAUUUACUGGGCGUAAAGGGCGCGUAGGCGGCCACCGCAAGUCGACUGUGAAAUCUCUGGGCUUAACCCAGAACGGUCAGCCGAUACUGCGGGGCUAGAGUGCAGAAGGGGCAACUGGAAUUCUCGGUGUAGCGGUGAAAUGCGUAGAUAUCGAGAGGAACAUCAGUGGCGAAGGCGGCCAUCUGGGACAACACUGACGCUGAGGCACGAAAGCGUGGGGAGCAAACAGG